UACGUAGGGUGCAAGCGUUAAUCGGAAUUACUGGGCGUAAAGCGUGCGCAGGCGGUGAUGUAAGACAGUUGUGAAAUCCCCGGGCUCAACCUGGGAACUGCAUCUGUGACUGCAUCGCUGGAGUGCGGCAGAGGGGGAUGGAAUUCCGCGUGUAGCAGUGAAAUGCGUAGAUAUGCGGUGGAACACCGAUGGCGAAGGCAAUCCCCUGGGCCUGCACUGACGCUCAUGCACGAAAGCGUGGGGAGCAAACAGG
rnacentral:rRNA from 1 species